rnacentral:rRNA from 1 species
CAAAUGACUCUCGGCAAUGGAUAUCUCGGCUCUUGCAUCGAUGAAGAACGUAGUGAAAUGCGAUACUUGGUGUGAAUUGCAGAAUCUCGUGAACCAUUGAGUCUUUGAACGCAAGUUGUGCCCGAGGCCUUCUGGUCGAGGGCACGCCUGCUUGGGCGCCAUGG